CUGACUUGGCAAAAGUAAUCAAAAGAAAUGCACUUCCAGAGACGUGCACAAAGUCUACAACAAAAGCGACAGCGACAGCUACAUUUUGUUGAAAAUCGCAAGUGCAGAGCGAGCCCGCGCCGAAAGCUACGCUGUAGAUCCACUUUUAUUUUCUUUUCUACGACAGAGAGCGCGCGAUCGCUGCUUUUGCUGUUUAUUCUGCUUUUAAUUAAUGCAAAAUGUAUACAAAAUGGCCGCGAAUAGGCGCAGCGCCCUGCCACAGCAACAGCAACAUCAAUAUCAACAUGUGAGUGAGGUCGCAAGGUGUGCGUGUGCGUGAGGAGGAGGAUGGAACGAGGAGAAUCCUCAACUAAAAAGAAGCACCAGAAAGAGCCAAAGCUGAGGAGAACUACUCUGAUAAGCCUGGGACUACUGUAGAGUGGAAAGAACUCGGGAGCUCAGGAUUGCACUCACAGAUUUAAAUAAAUAAACAAAAAAAAUGAAUAUCCCAGAAAUAUAAUCGAACAGCAGCAAUUGAAGGGGAUCUGUGCCAUAUGAAUAACAAAAGCGAAUGCCACUCAUUAUGCAUUCACAUGCAGGAACACACUCACCGCCGCCGCAUUCGACUGUGAUAAGUUUAUGACGCUUUACAACACUCGAAAUGCAAUGCACACGCACACACACAAGCCAGACUCGCUCUCUCUCCCCACCAGACUCUCGUAUACCCUUUCCUUCGAUACACUCGCCAACAGUUUUUCCCAUUCGCCAAAGCUCAUUAUGAAUAAAUGACGUUUCAUAAA